UUGUAGAUAUGACUUCGACUGAAUAAGUCGAGCUGGGUCUACCACAUUUUACUUUACCAUCACAUGAAAUCCACCAGAAAUGCUGCUUUCAAAUGAAAUUAAAUCCAAAAUUCAAAUGAUCGGUGGAGCGGUCGGUCAUCCAAGAAUGGAAGUAACCGUUUCUUGAUUUCUUUUAGUUGCUGUUGAUCGUGGUUGUCCAGAAGCUUCCGUUCCGUCUCUUGCCUCUCCCGCGCUUCCAGCCCUCCACCACCACAACCGCUCGCUUUCCCGCCGGCGCUCUCCACCACCACUGCCGCUCGCUCUCCCGCCGGCGCUCUCCACCACCACCGCUGCUCGCUCUCCAGCCAUCGACCUCCACCACCACCGUCGUGCCCCGAAGUGAAUGGCAAUUUGCGAACGAGGGUUUUAAUCGAGGAGUCUCGAUUCAUCUCAAGCUGCAUUAUCUACGACUCUAAAUAUUGUAAGCUACCUUGAGGGUUUUCUCCCCAAAACUUCAAGAUCGGUGGUUUCAUGGAGUUGAAGUUUUAAUUGGUUGCUAAAGGUGGAUGUUAGGUUGCUUGAGGAACAAGCUUUCCUGUACGUUUGGAGGCUCUGAAUCAAACAUUGUUUUACACAGUGGGCACAACAGAGUUUCACUUGUGGGCUGUCAUGGAAGUUUUCUGAGGGAUGUUCUCUUUGAUUUGGCAAAUAGGCUGCCGAUAUUUCAGUUUUUUGCUUGUACAUUUUCUCUUGAUAUUGUUGUUUUGUUUCCAUAUCUGGAAUCCUUUCAAUCUUUAAUGCAAUUGUAAUCCGGGUUCAUGAGACUUGAAGUUACAGUUGUAAUUUACAACUUUAGUUUAUUCAUUAUGUUGAAUAAUUGAAGUGUUGGCAAUCCCAUCUUUUUAAUGGAUGCACUCCGAUUAAUGUUUGUGUGGAAUACAUGGUGCUAAGCCAUGUUCAAAUCUGUUGUUGGUUUCUGCUAAUAUUGGCCUCUAUAUUUAAAACAUCAAGAACAAUGGACUCGGUGGGAUUCCUUCUAGUAGUAUGAAGAUGAACAUCUGCCUUUGGAUAAGGGCACAGUGCCUCAUACAUUCAUUGCUUGUACAUCGUGUUAGUUCUUCCUUUUGCAUAUGUAUCGAUAGAUGGUUUUUAUUGGUUGCUACUAAUGUUGCCCUCUAAUUAAAGCUUGAUGAACACUGAACUCAGGGUUCCUUCCAAAAGUACUCUAGUGUGAUCUUCUUUUGGGUAAAGACGCCAUGUACUUAAAUGAAUUGCUAGUUCUUUGCUGCUUAUUUCAGCUUGAGUUUUUAUUACAAUGAGUUCGUAGUUUGUUUUUUAUUAAAACUUUGGUUUUUAUUGCACUACACAUACUUUCACUUGUUUUUUUUAAUUGUUUGUAGCAAAUUUUGAAGUGCAUGCAUUCUUCUAUAUUCUUUUCAUGUUGUAUGGUUAUAAUUUUUUUCUGAUAUCAUUUAUUAGCAAUUCUUUUGGUACUGCCAAACUAUGGGCUAGCUCUACAUUUGUGACAAUGUUAGAGAAGGUUUUAGUUACUGAAAGCAAAUUUUUGGGCCUUGUUGAUUGUCCAUCAAAGUUUAGGCUGUUUGAUUUGGCUAUAGAAUGUUUGGAUGAUAUGCUUUUCAGCACAAGUUAAAAAAAUGGUUCUCUGUUGGUUAAAUGCACAAGGCUUGUGAAGGAUAUAUCUAGUCUACUACUGGUCAGAUUGCAUGCCUUCUUGUUUCUUGUUCAACCAUUAUUCAUCUUAAGCCAUAUAUAUAUCAUUGUCUUUUUGUAGCUCUUGUUUAGUCGCUCUACGCUCUUCCAUCUCAAUAAGAGCAGAGUUAGAUUCCUAAGCUGAAGAGUUCUUUCUAUUUUUCUUUCUUUCCAUUCUUAAGUGCUGCAUUAUGUAGAUAUACUAUAUUGGCCAGUUAGUUUAUAAAACUAUUUUUUUGG